UUUGCUCUUCGGAAACUGGUUUUUUUAUUUCCUCGGUUCCCUUUGACACAACAUCUGCAACAGCAGCAGGAACCGGUUUCGACUCCACAUAUGCUUCUUCAGUUCCUUUCGACUCCACAUAUGUUAUGACUGGAGCACAAUCCUCUUUCUUGCCCAACGGCAAUGUUGAUUCUUCAACCUCCUCGGACACCAAACCGGUUUCGACUGGAGAAAGCCCAUUACUCUCUUCCACAUAUGACAAUAUUUUUUCCUCAACCUGCUUCGAC
rnacentral:lncRNA from 1 species